rnacentral:tRNA from 1 species
GCCUUCGUGGUGUAGUGGCCAGAAUGCUCGACGCGUAACGGAGAGUUCCGUGGUUCGAUUCCCGGCGAAGGCG